rnacentral:SRP_RNA from 1 species
GCCGGGCGCGGUGGUGAGUGCCUGUAGUUCCAGCUACUCAGGAGGCUGACGCUGGAGGAUCUCUUGAGACCAGGAGUUCUGGGCUGUAGUGCACUAUGCCGAUCAGGUGUCCACACUAAGUUCGGCAUUAAUAUGGUAACCUCCCAGGAGCGGGGGGGACAACCAGGUUGCCUAAGGAGGGGUGAACUGGCCCAGGUCGGAAACAGAGCAGGUCAAAACUCCCGUUCGGAUCAGUAGUGGGAUCGCGACUGUGAAUAGCCACUGCACUCCAGCCUGGGCAACAUAGCGAGACUCUGUCUCU